rnacentral:rRNA from 1 species
UACAGAGGUCUCAAGCGUUGUUCGGAUUCAUUGGGCGUAAAGGGUGCGUAGGUGGCGAAGUAAGUCGGGUGUGAAAUCUCGGGGCUUAACCCCGAAACUGCAUUCGAUACUGCUUUGCUCGAGGACUGGAGAGGAGAUCGGAAUUCAUGGUGUAGCAGUGAAAUGCGUAGAUAUCAUGAGGAAGACCAGUGGCGAAGGCGGAUCUCUGGACAGUUCCUGACACUGAGGCACGAAGGCCAGGGGAGCAAACGGG